rnacentral:sRNA from 1 species
AUUUUAUUGGAAAGCAAGGACCUGCUAUUAUUUGUUAAUUUGCCAUCAUUUAUGUAUAUUUUGGAAGUUUUGAGCCUUUGUGUCAAUCCCAAGCACAGAGAGGAUCUGCCAAGGAAAAACAUUUGCAUCUUCGGAGUAGACAUUUUGCAGUUUGUUUAAUAACUUCUAAACCCUCAAGGACGUUUUGUUCUGAAGACUCUCGUAUUCAGCUCUGGGAAAUAUUAUUUCUCUGAUUAUCCCUUCAACUUUUGAAGAUUACCAGAUUUCUCAACAGCAAUACUGUGGUCUGGAAUAAAAGGGGGCACUUCCCUCAGACUUUGGAGAAGACAUUAUUUUGAACUAGAAUUCUGUCUACAGCCAUACUCUCAAUGAAGUAAGAUGGCAGAAUAAAGAUGAUUACACUAGC